AAUGGACGAAAGUCUGAACCAGCCAUGCCGCGUGCAGGAUUAAGGCCCUAUGGGUCGUAAACUGCUUUUAUACGGGACAAAACCCCCCUACGUGUAGGGGGCUGAUGGUACUGUAAGAAUAAGGAUCGGCUAACUUCGUGCCAGCAGCCGCGGUAAUACGAAGGAUUCGAGCGUUAUCCGGAUUUAUUGGGUUUAAAGGGUGCGUAGGCGGACUGAUAAGUCAGUGGUGAAAGCCUGUUGCUUAACAACAGAACUGCCAUUGAUACUGCCAGUCUUGAGUACAGUUGAGGUAGGCGGAAUGUGUCAUGUAGUGGUGAAAUACUUAGAUAUGACACAGAACACCGAUUGCGAAGGCAGCUUGCUAAACUGUAACUGACGCUGAGGCACGAAAGCAUGGGGAGCAAA
rnacentral:rRNA from 1 species